AUAAAUACAUUUGCAAAUAAAUACAUUUAUAAAUGAUAUGAAAUAUCACAAUAAGAAAUCUAUCUUAAAACAGGCAACAAGCAGGAGGUCAGCUUCAAACAAGACCUCAAACAAGCAACCCUUCUGCAGCUCCUUACAGCUUUGCACGGACACCUUACAGGAAAUGUUGCUCUACCAGAACUCAGGAUUUUAGUGACUGCUACAGCUGCUUCCAAGUGGUGAGGCCCUACCAAGCUGCUCACUACGUCAUACACCCAGAAUUUGUCUCUGAAAGCCUUUAUCAGGAACAACAGAGAUUUCCCUCUUCAAAGCUGGGGAUUCAGAAUGUGGAAGGAACAAAAUAAGAGACUGUUAGCUAUUGUCCAAUUCUCUGUGAAUAAACUACAACAUCACUCCUUGGAGAGCAGCAUGUAAACUUCAAAAUUUUCUUUCUAAAUUAAUGGUAAUUGAUCUUUCUAAGGGAGGGUUGUCAGGAUCAAGUUGGAUGAAGAGAAGUCACUCUAAUGGGCUACCAGUGUCUCUCAAUAUUAUAUUGCAAUUAUUUUUUUCACCUGUGUAAGAUUUCUUUCAAUAUUUAUGCAGCAGAGACAAUAACUAUUUAAAAUGUCCAAAUUGUCUCAGUAAAUAUAGUUGUAAUGGGACUAUAGACAUGAGACUUACACAAGAUUCACAUAUUUUACUGGGGAGUGGUGGCCUAGUGAUUAGAGAGCAGGGCAUUUGUGUCCUGGAGAGGCCACAAGUACCCUGGUUUGAAUCCCACAUCCUGCCACUCUGGGUCCCUGAGCAAGACCCUUAACCCCUGAAUGCUCCUUGGGUACUGCACAAUGGCAGCCCACUGCUCCUUAAGGGAUGGGUUAAAUGCAGAGAAUAAUUUAUCCAUUGUGAGAUCAAUAAAGUGUAAAUUA